rnacentral:rRNA from 1 species
UACGGAGGGUGCAAGCGUUAUCCGGAUUCACUGGGUUUAAAGGGUGCGUAGGCGGGCAGGUAAGUCAGUGGUGAAAUCUUCGAGCUUAACUCGGAAACUGCCUUUGAUACUAUCUGUCUUGAAUAUGGUGGAGGUAAGCGGAAUAUGUCAUGUAGCGGUGAAAUGCUUAGAGAUGACAUAGAACACCUAUUGCGAAGGCAGCUUACUACGCCUAUAUUGACGCUGAGGCACGAAAAGCGUGGGGGAUCAAAACAGG